rnacentral:rRNA from 1 species
GGGUCAGUAGGUUGGUCGUGCCACCGGUACGUACUGUUCUCACUGAUUCCUCCCUCCUGAAGAACCGUAAUGCCAUUAAUUUGGUGUUGCGGGGAAACAGGACUGUUACUUUGAAAAAAUUAGAGUGUUUAAAGCAAGCUAACGCUUGAAUACAUUAGCAUGGAAUAAUGAAAUAGGACGAUCGAUCCUAUUUUGUUGGUUUCUAGGAUUGACGUA